AGCAGCCGCGGUAAUUCCAGCUCCAAUAGCGUAUAUUAAAGUUGUUGCAGUUAAAAGCUCGUAGUUGAAUUUCGGGAUCAAUACGUUGGUCGUGCUUUCAGGUACGUACUGGCGUCAUUGGUUUCUCUCUUCUGACGAACCAUGAUGUCAUUAGUUUGGUGUUAUGGGGAGUUAGGACUGUUACUUUGAAAAAAUUAGAGUGUUUAAAGCAGGCUCGCGCUUGAAUACAUUAGCAUGGAAUAAUGAAAUAGGACGUUUGACCCUAUUUUGUUGGUUUCUAGGAUCGACGUAAUGAUUAAUAGGGAUAGUUGGGGGCAUUAGUAUUCAAUUGUCAGAGGUGAAAUUCUUGGAUUUAUUGAAGACUAACUACUGCGAAAGCAUUUGCCAAGGAUGUUUUCAUUAAUCAAGAACGAAAGUUAGGGGAUCGAAGACGAUCAGGAUACCGUCGUAGUCUUAACCAUAAACUAUGCCGACUAGGGAUCGGAUGAUGUUAUUUUUAAUGACUCAUUCGGCGCCUUAC
rnacentral:rRNA from 1 species